UAAGGCAGUCGGAUAGCUGCGCCGGAACAGGUUUUCGGUGAGGAAAGUCCGGGCUUCAAGAGAACAAGGCACCAGAUAACGUCUGGCUGGAGCAAUCCAAGGGAAAGUGCCGCAGAGAUAUACCGCCGGGCUAAAUGUCCGGUAAGGGUGAAAAGGCGAGGUAAGAGCUCACCGCAGGACCGGUAACGGUUCUGGCAAGGUAAACCCUGUCUGAUGCAAGACCAAGUUAGGGGUGUUCAAGUGCCGGGCUUCGGCUUUGCAAACUGAACAACAACGGAGCGUUCUCUCUCCACUCCAGAGGUAGGUCGCAACGAGCCGCGCAGCGAUGUUCGGCCCAGAUGAAUAGCUAUCGUUCCGGACUUUGCGUUAUGCGUAAAGCUGCCGGAAUACAGAACCCGGCUUAUAGAUUGCCUUAUAAU
rfam:Proteobacteria bacterium CAG:495 genomic scaffold, scf196